GUGUUCCACCUGUGCUGGUUGCCAUCACGUUAGUGGGAAGGUUUUUUGCCUGCCCAGGUGCUCUUUAAGAGUAGCUGGCCCAGUCCUCUUGAGAGAUGUAGAGGGACCCUCCCUAUCUGAUUUCUAGAAAAAUAUUCCUUUGUCUGAUUUAGUUUUGUGCCACCUUUUUGGCAUUGAAAUAACCUGGUGGAGCUUGUGACCUCCUGUGGGAACUACAGCCAGUACCGCCAGCGUAUCUCAGAGAGCACGGGCUUUCGCUUCCCCAUCCUGGGAGUGCACCUCAAGGACCUGAUAGCAGUGCACGUGACCCUGCCCGACUGAAGCGACUGCGAGAAGACCCAGGUCAACCUGGCCAAGACCCAUCAGCUGUAUUCAAUCCUCCAGGAGCUAGCGCUGAUCCAGACCACACCACCCAGUGUUGAUGCCACCAUGGACCUGCUCAACCUGCUCAUGUAUCUCUGGACCAGUACCAUUCAGAGGAAGAGAUCUAUCAGCUGUCCCUGCAGAGGGAGCCACUCACCGCCAGGCGAGGUGAAAUUUCAGUGUUUAACAAUUCCACCACUGAUGAAGACGGCUACAUCUCUCAGGAGGAAAUUGAGAUCAUUAGGACCAACUUCCCAUACCUCUGCAAGUUUGAUGACCUGGACAAGAGUCACCUGUGGGGUGAGCUGUCACAAAGACUGUCGCAGCCGCCUUGCUGUUGAGUGCUGCAAACCAACAAAGAGUGCCAGUCACGAUCCUUCAGUGUGCCUGAUAUGGUUUAGCCCCUACACAUUCUACAUCACAGAGCCAUUGCAGAGGAAGCACCUGACUCUCUGGAGGAUGAAGUGUUUGAUGUCCACCUUUGAGAACAGUCUCACUUCGUCGGGCGUGGACUCCACAGGGAUGCUGGCCCAUGUUGACUCCAAUGCUUCCCACACUUUUGUGAAGUUUACUGGAUGUCGUUUGGGUGGCGGACCAUUCUACACAUAGGAAACUGUUGAAUGUGAAAAACCCAGCAGCGUUGCAGUUCUUGAUACACUGAAACCAGUGCGCCAGGCACCUACUCCCUUACCCCGUUCAAAGGCAUUUAAAUAUUUUGUUUUGCCCAUUCACCCUCUGAAUUGCACAUAUACACAAUACUUGUCUCAAAGCUUAUAAAUCCUUAUUUAACCUGUCUCCUCCCCUUAAUCUACACUGAUUGAAGUGAAUUUAACAGGUGACAUCAAUAAGGGAUCAUAGCUUUCACCUGGUCAGUCUGUCAUGGAAAGAACCUGUUCCUAAUGUUUUGUACACUGUGUAUGUCAACAUCUCCUAGUGUGAGCAAUGUUCCUGAUCAAAUGCUCUAUCUGCAAGUGUUUUGAUGUAGUCUCUAAACAAUUCCUAUCUAAAGUCAUCCUUUUUAGACUGCAUUUCUCUUUUUCCUGAAUUAAUUUUGUGGUCCACUUACUAGUUAAUUUUCACAUCAGAAUGAAGACCAACAUUGACGAGAACACAAACUUUUCCCAUGCUGCCAAGCUGAACUUAAAUGGGGACCGACAGCAAUGACACUCUGAAGAUAGAAAUGUAUUUGCUCCUGUUUGGAUAUACAAUGCACGCUAAGAACAUUGCAAUUUUCGGACUUUCUUAAGAAUGUCCACAUUUUCCCCAAAGUUUUAGAGCUAUUGAACCUGAGGAAGGAUUGUGUAACUAUAUGUUUACUUGCUAAUGAUAAUUUGAUGAUCCAGUCAAUACAUGUUGUGCUGAUUUGUGUAUUUGUUUUCUGAUGAAUUAAUCCUUCAUUCUCUCAGCCAUAGUAUUAUUUGCCCAGAGCUUUCACAGUAGGUAAACCUAGAGUAGAUGCAUAUCUCUGUAUGUGCUUGUAUACGGUUCAUGAUUGCUGAAGGUUGCUUCUCCGCAAGGUGGUGAGGUUUUGUGUCAACACUGGAUAGCAUAGGCUACCACUGGGAUUUAGCAUUCUGUAGUUCAUUCACAUUCCCUGUUUUUAGUGUAGCCCUAUGUUUGUGUAUAACAUGUGGGAGUGGAUUGUUGAUGACAAGUUAAAUUGAGGUUCUUUCCUCAGCUAGCCAACCAUGUUCAUGUUUGAUUACAUUGUAAUGUGGUACAAUUUAAAAGGCAGAAAGAUCUUCUAUGGUUCUAUAUCAUAGAAUAGAAACGGCAUCAUGCCCAACUACUUUGGAUUUUUUACUACUUGUGUACAUACAAUAUGCUGAGGACUUAUUUGUCUCGCUCUGUUACUCCCAAGUGAUGCUCCCAUGAGGGAAGGCAAUUAAUUUACUCUGAGCAGUGGUUUCUAGGAACUUCAAUACAUAGCUGAGACGAUUCUCUCCGGGAUUGUCACACUGUAAAAUGUGAUAACAGCACAAAUAUAGGCUACAUUUUAUACUUAAGCAAUAAGGUCCGAG
rnacentral:lncRNA from 1 species